GGAUGCGUAGCUCAACUGGAUAGAGCACCUGACUACGGAUCAGGAGGUUUGGGGUUCGAAUCCCUACGUGUCCG
rnacentral:tRNA from 1 species